GACGAACGCUGGCGGCGUGCCUAAUACAUGCAAGUUGAGCGCUGAAGGUUGGUACUUGUACCAACUGGAUGAGCAGCGAACGGGUGAGUAACGCGUGGGGAAUCUGCCUUUGAGCGGGGGACAACAUUUGGAAACGAAUGCUAAUACCGCAUAAAAACUUUAAACACAAGUUUUAAGUUUGAAAGAUGCAAUUGCAUCACUCAAAGAUGAUCCCGCGUUGUAUUAGCUAGUUGGUGAGGUAAAGGCUCACCAAGGCGAUGAUACAUAGCCGACCUGAGAGGGUGAUCGGCCACAUCGGGACUGAGACACGGCCCAAACUCCUACGGGAGGCAGCAGUAGGGAAUCUUCGGCAAUGGACGAAAGUCUGACCGAGCAACGCCGCGUGAGUGAAGAAGGUUUUCGGAUCGUAAAACUCUGUUGGUAGAGAAGAACGUUGGUGAGAGUGGAAAGCUCAUCAAGUGACGGUAACUACCCAGAAAGGGACGGCUAACUACGUGC
rnacentral:rRNA from 1 species